GGGCGCCGGGGCCGGGCGCGGGCGGCGGGCGGAGAGCCUGGCGGGCGAGGGCGCCGCGGAGCUGGAGCAGCGGCGGCGGGCGGCGGGCCGGGGCGCCGGGGCCGGGCGCGGGCGGCGGGCCGGGGCGCCGGGGCCGGGCGCGGGCGGCGGGCCGGGGCGCCGGGGCCGGGCGCGGGCGGCGGGUGCGGGGCGCCCGGCUGGCGCUCACUCCCCCGUCCGGGGGCGGGGGCCCCGGGGGGGGGGGCGAGGGGCGGGGCGGGGCGGGGGAGGGAGGCUGGGCUCGGGCCGGUUUCUUUCCCCCCCCACCCCGGGGGUGUUUGUUGCUUGGAUUGUUUGGUCGCAAACGGGCGGUGAUGAGACACGGGGUCCCGGCCCCCAGAUUGUGAUGUCUCAGGGGGCGGGGGGCGGGGCGACGCCGCGAAGCAGCGGGGGGGGGGGGGGGGCGGGGUGAGCCCGCGGGUCCCAGCGCCUGGUCCGCGGGAGGGCCCGCCCCCUGCCACCCGGCCCCCGGCCCCUCCACGCACCCCUGUCCCGGGGACGGCCAGGCAGACAGCCCUCCACCCCAGGUCCCCGGCCUCCGCACAAUUCAGAGGCCACCUCUGCGGAGGGGAGGGCCGUGCGAGGCCGUGCGCCCCCGCGGGCACCUGGGGGGAACGGUUUGGCUAUUGGAAACCUUCUCCCUGCGGAUCCCGUCCAGAGAUGACCCCAGAUUGUGGGAAGCAGGGAGAAGCCUGACACCCCCAUCGCCACCACCCCGUGCAGCCGGGGGGCCACCCUCUCUGGGGCUUUACUGAAAAUGAGUGCCAGGGCCCCAUCGGGGACCCAACGUCAAAGCCAGAUGAGCUGACCAGACAGGGGGGAAGUUUAACCAGAGGAUGCACCGAAAUGCAAUGUCAAGGCAGAAGACCAGCAAAUUCUUUUUUAACCUCUCAAGACCCUUCCCAAGAGUCCCCAGCCUGUCCCAGCUCUCCUCAUCUGCGGCUCUGGAAGCCCAGUGGAGGCCCACGGAGCCAAUGGGCACUCACGGGUGCCUGGGCGCAUGCCUCCCGGAUUCGAGGAAAAGUACUCUGCCUGAAGGCCUGGCUUCCCGGGAGUUUCCAGAAACUGAUUUUCUAGAAAUUGCCCAAUGCCGCUAG
rnacentral:lncRNA from 1 species